CCUACGGGUGGCAGCAGUGAGGAAUAUUGGUCAAUGGCCGGAAGGCUGAACCAGCCAUGCCGCGUGAAGGUCAGUGCCCUAUGGGCGUUAAACUUCUUUUGUGCGGGAGCAAUAAUGGUCCCGUGUGGCCAGACGAGAGUACCGUACGAAUAAGCAUCGGCCAAAACCGUGCCAGCAGCCGCGGUUAUACGGGGGGUGCACGCGUUAGCCGGAUUUUUUUGGUUUAAAGGGGUCGUAGGAUGGGAGGUAAGUGAGCGGGGGAAGACCCCGGGUCUACGGGGUGAAGUGCAGUUGAUACUGCCUUGCUGGAAUGCGGAAGCAGUGGGAGGAAUGUGUGGUGUAGCGGUGAAAUGCAUAGAUAUCACGCAGAACACCGAUUGCGAAGGCAUCUCACGGAUCCGCGAUUGACGCUGAUGCACGAAAGCGUGGGUAUCAAACAGGAUUAGAUAUCCGGGUAGUC
rnacentral:rRNA from 1 species